rnacentral:misc_RNA from 1 species
CUCUCUCUCUCUCUCUCUCACUCUAUUGUUCUAAUGGGAGACCUGCACGACACCAAAGUUCUCAAGCACCCGUUCUCCGAUAGGGUCCCAAUUCGAUCCAUUGUCUGUCGCCCUGACGGUGGUGCCGGCCUCGGUGGCCAGCUUGUACGGAUAGGUGGCUGGGUGAAGACCGGGAGAGAGCAGGGUAAGGGAUCGUUCGCAUUUUUGGAGGUGAACGAUGGCUCAUGUCCGGCCAACCUCCAGGUUAUAGUGGAGAAAGAAGUGGCGGAUCUGAGCUCGCUUGUUCAUACUGGCGCGUGCGUCUCCGUUGAGGGGGUACUCAAGGAACCACCUGAAGGUACCAAGCAGAAGAUUGAGCUCCGAGUAGGAAAAGUGCUCCAUGUUGGACCCGUGGACCCGGCUAAGUACCCAAUUCCCAAAACGAAGCUAACGCUUGAGUUCUUGAGGGAUCAUAUUCAUCUUCGACCCAGAACUAAUACGAUUUCUGCAGUUGCUCGAAUUCGUAAUGCUCUUGCUUUUGCUACCCACUCAUUCUUUCAAGAGCAUGGCUUUCUAUAUAUUCAUACCCCAAUUAUCACAACUAGUGACUGUGAAGGUGCUGGUGAAAUGUUUCAAGUUACAACCUUGAUUAAUGAAGUUGAAAAGAUAGAGAAGGAGCUGAGUGAGAAUCCUCCUCCAUCAGAGGCUGACAUAGAAGCUGCAAAGCUUGUUGUUAAGGAGAAAGGGGGGGCUGUCGCCCAACUGAAAUCUGCUAAAGCAAGUAAGGAGGAUAUAGCUGCUUCAGUGGCUGAACUGACAAAUGCAAAGGAGAAUCUCUUAAAGCUGGAGGAAAGAUCUAAACUUAAGCCUGGCAUUCCUAAAAAAGAUGGGAAGAUCGAUUAUUCUCUAGAUUUCUUUUCCCGUCAAGCAUUUUUGACCGUCUCUGGCCAAUUACAAGUUGAAACAUAUGCCUGUACCGUUAGCAAUGUCUACACAUUUGGACCAACUUUUCGGGCUGAGAACUCACACACAUCCAGGCAUUUGGCAGAAUUCUGGAUGGUGGAGCCUGAAAUAGCAUUUGCAGAUCUUGAGGAUGACAUGAACUGUGCGGAGGCAUAUGUGAAAUAUAUGUGUCAGUGGUUACUUGAUAAGUGUCUUGAUGAUAUGGAACUGAUGGCUAAACUUUAUGAUAAAGGUUGCAUUGAUCGACUAAGAAUGGUUGCAUCUACCCCUUUCAAGCGCAUUUCAUACACAGAAGCAGUGAAACUACUAGAGGAGGCUGUGCAAGGUGGUAAGAAGUUUGAAAACAAGGUGGAGUGGGGGAUAGAUCUGGCAUCUGAGCAUGAGAGAUACUUGACAGAGGUAUUAUUUCAGAAGCCUGUGAUUGUGUACAAUUACCCAAAAGGGAUCAAGGCGUUUUACAUGAGGCUCAAUGAUGAUUCAAAGACUGUAGCUGCCAUGGAUGUCCUUGUUCCAAAGGUAUUCAUUAUUUAAAACAUCUCUAACUUGGUGCAUUAUCAAUUAUGUUUGACUUUGGAGUUUCUAUUUUUCUACCUUCUUGCAAUGGAUGUCCUUGUACCAAAGGUAUCCAUUAUUUAAUACAUCUCUAACUUGCUGCAUCAUCAAUUAUGUUUGACUUUGUAGUUUCUAUUUUUCUACAUUCUUCUUGCACAUAUUUAACAUUCGAAAUAUAUUUCAGGUGGGUGAGUUGAUCGGUGGAAGCCAGAGAGAGGAACGCUUGGAGGUUAUUCAGCAAAGGUAUGAGAUAUGGUUGAAUGGUUCUCAAUAUUUCAUGCAAAAGUGCCUGUACUGUCUCUUUAUUUUGUUGUUAUAAAUUGUAAUUCUAUGGUAAUGGGUGCAUUUUUAUUGGGAAUGCUCACCAUCAUUGCAGAAUUGUUGGUAUGGGGCUGCCUCUUGAACCAUAUGAGUGGUACCUUGAUCUGCGGCGCUAUGGAACUGUAAAGCAUAGUGGAUUUGGCUUAGGCUUUGAACGGAUGAUACUAUUUGCCACUGGCAUUGACAAUAUUAGAGAUGUCAUUCCCUUCCCCAGAUAUCCAGGGAGAGCAGAUCUGUGAUAUUUAGUUUACUAAUUACAUGUUUGAUGUUAGUAUUUUGGCUUUAGAAUUCAAUACAGAUUAUUCUAUCUGAAUUUCCUCUCAAAUGUAUUUGGCUACUUCGAUUCUGAACAUUAUUGAAAAAUUAUUGUUAUUAUUAUUUUUCAUUUUAUUUUAUUUGGGAGAAGGAUUUACAAUAUUGAUGUGGACUGUCUAAUGGCACUGAAUGACGAAAAAAGAUCUAUAUAGUUGAUUUCAACUAAUUUAAGAUUAAGGCUUAUUAGUAGUUAUUUGAGAAAGGAAAUUCAGGAUUCUAUCUGUUUACACUAUUAAUCUAUUGACCAGAUCCAUUCUGCAGAUACUGUGAUGCAAACUGGAGAUUGAGCUGAAGGUUUCUGUUUCUCUGCCGGAUGGUUUAUAUAUAUUUUUUUAAUGGAUUGUAAGAUGUAACAUCAAUAUUUUUGAGAAAUGGUUUUAUCUGAAAAGAAGCUUCUUGUGUCUGCUGUUUUCAGUAGAAUUUCAAUAAAAUCCUAGUGGCUGAAAAGCAUUCUAAUUCAGUCAAUUGUUACACCAUGG